rnacentral:rRNA from 1 species
GACGAACGCUGGCGGCGUGCCUAAUACAUGCAGGUUGAGGGCUGAAGGUUGGUACUUGUACCAACUGGAUGAGCAGCGAACGGGUGAGUAACGCGUGGGGAAUCUGCCUUUGAGCGGGGGACAACAUUUGGAAACGAAUGCUAAUACCGCAUAAAAACUUUAAACACAAGUUUUAAGUUUGAAAGAUGCAAUUGCAUCACUCAAAGAUGAUCCCGCGUUGUAUUAGCUAGUUGGUGAGGUAAAGGCUCACCAAGGCGAUGAUACAUAGCCGACCUGAGAGGGUGAUCGGCCACAUUGGGACUGAGACACGGCCCAAACUCCUACGGGAGGCAGCAGUAGGGAAUCUUCGGCAAUGGACGAAAGUCUGACCGAGCAACGCCGCGUGAGUGAAGAAGGUUGUCGGAUCGUAAAACUCUGUUGGUAGAGAAGAACGUUGGUGAGAGUGGAAAGCUCAUCAAGUGACGGUAACUACCCAGAAAGGGACGGCUAACUACGUG